rnacentral:rRNA from 1 species
UACGUGGAGGGCAAGCGUUGUCCGGAUUCAUUGGGCGUAAAGAGCGUGUAGGCGGCCAGGUAGGUCGGUUGUGAAAACUGGAGGCUCAACCUUCAGAGGUCGACCGAAACCAUCUGGCUAGAGUCCGGGAGAGGAGAGUGGAAUUCCUGGUGUAGCGGUGAAAUGCGCAGAUAUCAGGAAGAACACCCGUGGCGAAAAGCGGCUCUCUGGAACGGUACUGACGCUGAGACGCGAAAAGCGUGGGGAGCGAACAGG